rnacentral:tRNA from 1 species
UUAAUUGAAGCCAAAAUGAGGCUUUUCAUUGUUAAUGAAAAAAUUGAUUAUAAUUAAUCCAAUUAAA